rnacentral:rRNA from 1 species
UACGUAGGGUGCGAGCGUUGUCCGGAAUUAUUGGGGCGUAAAGAGCUUGUAGGUGGUUUGUCGCGUCUGCUGUGAAAAUCCGAGGCUCAACCUCGGGCCUGCAGUGGGUACGGGCAGACUAGAGUGCGGUAGGGAAGAUUGGAAUUCCUGGUGUAGCGGUGGAAUGCGCAGAUAUCAGGAGGAACACCAAUGGCGAAGGCAGAUCUCUGGGCCGUAACUGACGCUGAGGAGCGAAAGCAUGGGGGAGCGAACAGG